rnacentral:rRNA from 1 species
AUUGAACGCUGGCGGCAGGCCUAACACAUGCAAGUCGAGCGAGCGGCGCAUGGGGGUGUAAUGUGUGUGAAACUCCCUGAUGGAGGGGGAUAACUCUUGGAAACGGUAUAUAUUAUCGCCUACCAUCUCAUGUGUCCAGAUGGGGUUUGCUAGUGGGUGGGGUAACGGCUCACCUAGGCGACGAUCCCUAGCUGGUCUGAGAGGAUGACCCGCCAAACUGGAACUGAGACACGGUCCGGACUCCUACGGGAGGCAGCAGUGGGGAAGAUUGCACAAUGGGCGCAAGCCUGAUGCAGCCAUGCCGCGUGUAUGAAGAAGGCCUUCGGGUUGUAAAGUACUUUCAGCGGGGAGGCGUUACCCGCAGAAGAAGCACCGGCUAACUCCGUGCCAGCAGCCGCGGUAAUAC